GAUGGAUGGCCGAGUGGUCGAAGGCGGCGGUCUUGAAAACCGUUGAGGUGCAAGCCUCCGGGGGUUCGAAUCCCUCUCCAUC
rnacentral:tRNA from 1 species